GACCCAAACUUUUAUACUAAGUAUUUAUUACCAGAAAGGAAAAAAAUAAAGCUCCAAAUUUGCCGUCGAAAGCCCUAAACUUUUCUGUAUGAGACGGACUGUUAGCACGCCGGCGGUACACAAGCAGAGAGUCAAUACACCCAUCUGAAUUUGGUUAUGGGACUUGGCAAGGGAAAUGAAGGAGAGACGAGUAGAAGUUCGAAAAGAAAGAAAGGCAUCUUCCAUCCAAAUCAGGUUACGAAAAAGGAUACUUAUCUUCUGAAUUAGGGCAUGUUAAUGUUUCUUUUAAGUAUCUGGAGUUCAUCCUCUUUUCAAGACACUCCAUUGCCUAUGAGGCGAGAAGUGUGAUGUUAGGAUAAAUAUACCUAAAUUGAAAUGUGGAGAAGCCGAUAAUUUUGAGUGCAAUAAUUUUCUAAUAUUUAAGUAGUUUUAGAUGAAAAUUUGAAAAUAAGUUUUUUGAUUUACAAGUCAUAUAUAUAUAUUAGCUACGGAAAUUGAAAGCAAGUAGUGGAAAGUUAAGGAUUUUACGGAUUAUACAAAGUUGACAAUUUCAAGUGCUAAAGAAGUUCAUUUUGAGAGUAAAUACAAUUCUAUUCCGUCUGAAUAUAGUAUAGAUAUAAUUUGGUGUAGUGUGAACAAUAUUUUCAAUGAGAAAUUUUAUGAAAUGGUUGAUGCAGAAAAUUAUUUCAAAAGAUUAUGUAUAUUUUUUUGCCAAAGCAUUAGAUUUGAUAUACUAUUGAAAUUCAUGGUCAAAAUAUUGACCAAAGAAAAAGGAGGAUAUACUAUUGAAUUGGGUAUGCAUUUUCUGAUCAUCUUUUCUCUUGGUCAAUAGUAUAUCUCCUUUUUUUUUUGGUCAAUAUUUUGACCAAGAACUUCAAUAGUAUAUCAAAUCUAAUGCUCUCGCAAAAAAAUACACAUAAUAUUUUGAAAUGAUCUUCUGUAUAACCAUUUCAUUAAAUUUUCCAUUGAAAAUAUUGCUCACACUAUCCCAAAUUAUGUCUAUACUAUAUGCAGACGUAAUAGAAUUGUAUUUGUUCUCAAAAUGAACUUCUUUAACACUUGGAAAUGUCAACUUGUAUGGUCCGUAAAAUCCUUAACUUUUCAUCACUUGCCUUCAACUCUAACAUAUAUAUAUAUAUAUUUGACUUGUAAAUCAAAAAGCUUAUUUUCAAAUUUUCAUCUAAAACUACUGUGAAUAUUAGAAAAUCAUUGCCCUCAUAAUCAUCGGCUUCUCCACAUUUCAAUUUAGGCAUAUGCGUCAUAACGUCCACUUCUCGCCAAUACUUAAAAGAAACAUUAACAUGCCCUAAAUUCAUCAUGUCGAAAACCCUCCAAAACAAAAGAAGCCCCAAAUUAUUUCAAUUUCAUAAUUCUAGGGUUCUACGGUCGAGAAAGAAGGCGAAUCAUCUGAAUUUGUUUAAGAGAAGAUCGAUGUACAUCACUUUGAUUUAAGGUAAACACGAUGAAGCACGAUUAAGAGGAUCGAUCUAAGCCGGUGAAUUUUCAAGAUAUCCAAUGAUCUUUUUUGCCAAGAGAACAUUCCAGCCAAUUACCCGUGGAUUCUUUGCUUGCGUACACUUUAAAAUCCCCCUGCAAUAGCCCGGGUAAAAAAUUGUUAGCUGCAAUAUUGGUUGAGUAACAAAUUGAAAACAAAUUAAUCGAGAAUCAAAACUUCAGUCCCCGCUCAACUCCCUUUCUUCUUCCCUUGCUUUCCCAGCUGCGUCGUCCCCUCCAAAAAAAAAAACCUUUCCUUGCCAAGACAAAAAAGCUUUCCCUGCGUCGUCAAUCGGUGGAUCUGGUUCCUCGUCGGUGGUUUUGGCCUCCUCGCCAGUCGCCAGUAGUUCUGGUCUCUUUUCUCGCCUCCUCUCCACCUGUUAGCUUGCUCGGCCGGCAGUUCCAAGAAAGAAGUUAGCUUGCUCGAACGGUGGUUCCAAGAAAGAAGGUUGCUCGGUCGGUGGUUCUCCGUCAAUCUCCUCACCGCGGCAAGUUGGUUGUAGGUAUGCUCGUGAAGAGACGAGACAUGAUAAUGGAUCACUGCCGAUUUAGGACUACAACAUAGAGCUGGCGGAUCAAAGAGGACAGAAGGUUAAAUUGGAGUCUGAGUCUGAGCAAAGGAAAACGUGAAAACAAAGCAUCCUCAACUGCUGUAUGAGUCCAAAUUAUAUAAAAUUCUGCAAGGAGGAACUGGAAUUCCUAAUGUAAGAGGGUUUGGUGUUUGAAGGAGAUUACAAUGUUCUAGUCAUAGAUUUACUUGGGCCCAGCUUAGAAGAUUUCUUCAACUUCUGUAGCGGGACAUUUUCGUUGAAGACUGUUCUUAUGCUUGCAGAUCAGAUGAUCAAUCGAGUUGAAUUGGUUCAUUCUAAGUCAUUCUUGCAUCGGGAUAUCAAGCCUGAUAACUUCCUCAUGGGGUUAGGGCGGCGUGCAAUCAGGUAUGACUCCCAUCUGUGUGUUAUUUGAAAUUUUAUGUUGGGUGUAUUUUCUGUUAGGGAUCUAUUUUGAUAAAUUAAUAACUCUUUCAUUCUAAUGUAUCUUGUGCGGUUUGCUAACUUUAUAUGAUUGAUUUUGGUCUAGCAAAGAAGUAUAGAGACAGUACAACCCAUCAACAUAUUCCUUAUAGGUGGGUAAUGAGUUGGUGUUUUUUAGUGUUGCAACUCAUUGAUAUUCCGUUUUGUUAUAGAUAUUCUUACCGCUACCGUCUUUGUUGUCAUCGGUGUGUCAUCAUUGUUAUCGCCAGUGUGUCAUCAUCGUUAUCAUCAUCUGUUCAAUUAUCACAUUGUAAACUAAAGUAGCUGCAUGUAUGCGCUAGUCUAUAAAACAACAAUCAUAUUUCGCUGGUGUUGUCGUUAGCUGGAAAAUUAAAGUAGAUACAUGUCUAUUCAAGAGGAGCUUGUAGUCCGUGACUUAUGUGGACCUGCGCCUAAAUUUGACCAGAUUAACUUUGUUUUAUGGCAAUCUCUUUAUCUUUGUUUUUAAAGAUUAAGUACUUAAGUUUAUGCUCUAUCAUGUACGACUGUCAUUAUCUUUUACUGCCCUGUUUUAUAUGUUACUUCCUCCGUUUCUGUUUACUCGCAACACACUGUUUUUUUUGCACUAUUCACAUACUGUACUUUGUUUAUCUUUGACGAUUUAUACUGGAAAAAUAUAAGUUUGUGUCUGUGCAAAUGCAUGCUAUCACAGAAUAUACAACAUUACUUUUGAUGAGCUAACAACAAAAUGCUGAUUUUUAAUUUUUGCAUGAAUCUUCGUCAUUCAAGUGUUACAUUUUUAUGUGGGAUCUUUUCAAGUGCUGCUGGACCAAGCUCUGGGCUGCCUCAUGGUGCUAGUGACAGACAACUUGGUAUCUUCCUACAUUAUUAUCUUCUUCUGCUCAUGAAUGAUAUUCUGAAUUUUUUAUCAGCACAGAUUACUAGCUAGCUUUCAAGGAUCGCUCAAUCCUCCCUCAGUGCCUGUAAACAAGUUUGGAGAAGCUUGUUUGUGAUGCUGCUCAAUUACUGCUUUAUUUCGGAGUUGAACAAAUCAUCUAUGUUUCUGAAAUGACGCACUGCUAAAUAAAGGCCACCAAAUCACAUCUUAAAAGUGCUGAUAGGCAUCCAGACCUAAGUAAGCAACUAAUGACAGUCAAGGAUGAUGCAUCACAAUUUCUUCCAGAACCUUGUUCGUCAUUGAUUGAUAACUGCUCCAACACCAAAUUUAUACCUACUCUUAAGGUCUAUACUCCGAGGAAUGCGCCUUAUGCUUAGGGGUGUCAAAUCGGGUCAUCGGAUCGGUUUCGGAUCGGUUAUAAACGGUUAGGGUCUUGUCGAAAUCGGAUAAUGUCGGGUUAAUGUUUCUACCCGGGUCAAUUCGGAUCGGUUUGGAUAACUUCGGUUUCGGAUGAAGUCGGUUAAUAUGAUGUUUUGGUUUCGAGUAGGUUUCGGAUCGGGUAAUUUCGGUUCGGUUUGAACCGGUUCGGGUUUAAAACGGUUUUUUAUCGGUUUAAGUUGGUUCGGGUCUAGUUCGGUUCGGGUGUAUGUCGGAUACAGUUGCUAUUUUUACCGGCUUACUACGGGUACGGGUGGUGUCCGGAUCGGAUAAGUCUCGAAUUUGGGUGUAUGUCGGAUUCAUUUACUAUUUUAACUGAUUUACUGCGAGAAUGGGUCAUGUCUAGAUCGAAUAUAGUCUCGGGUUAGGGUCAAGUUUGAUCGUGAGUCUCGGGUUUGGGUCAAGUUCGGACUGGUCGCACCUCCGAUCGGGGUCAAUUACGGAUUGAGUUUGCGGUUUGUGGUUCGAGCUAAGAUCAGGUUGGCUUGUAUUGUUAUGUUGUAUGGAUCGAGUAGCUCUCGAGUUCACUAUCAAAUUCAGAUCACUUUAUAAUUCUAAUAUUAGAUGCCAAAUACUAAUUUAUUAGAAUUCUAUUCCUUCGGUCCAAAGUUUGGUUGAAAGUCGGUUACGGGUUCAUUCAGACCUAACACCAAUGCAGGUUAAAUCGGAUAACGGGUUUUAUCGGGUCGGGUCGAUUACAGUAGUUAUCGGUUAAAAACGGAUUUCGGAUUGCUAUCGGGUCGGAUGCGGGUUCGGUUCGGUUAAAACUAGUCGGAUACUAAUCUGGUCACGGGUCUCCUCGGAUUGUUAGCGGAUCGGGUUCGGGUCUUUGAGUUACGGGUCAAAUCGGAUUUCGGAUCGAUGUCGGAUCGGUUCGGUUUGGUUUCAAGAGCCUCUAAUUCUCGGAUAUAUUCGGUUCGGAUGUCGGUCGGUUUCUCGGAUCGGGUCAAUUUUUGACAACAAUGGGCUAAUUCUUUUGCCAGCAAGUAUUUAUUAUUCGCCUGAGCGCGUUUGAUCGAGUUGGUUUAGAUGUUAUAGAACAAUCUUUUAUAUUAAAAUGUAUGCGUACGUUGAAAUUGGAACGUACAUAUAUUUAAAUGUACUACAUGCACUUUGUUUUGGGAUAUAUAGUAUACAAAACACCUGUUAUUGUUUUUAUAAUUGUUAUACAGGUUGUGAUAUUAUUAUUGUUGUGACAGGUUUCUAUAUUUGGUGCAAGGCACUCUAGGUAUCCCUGAAUAAAAUUAAAAUUUUCCCGCCUAAAGUGCUUUGUUGCUAUGUACGCUGUAACAAGGGUGUAAAAUUUGGUCAAAAUCAUGACCUGUUGUAGCGUGCAAAUAGAUGUUCGCUGCAACAGGAUGGGUCUUUUGCAGUGUACACCAAUUUGUGUGCUGUGACAAGUCAUGAUUUUGGCCUAAUUUUACACACUUGUUACAACGUACAUAUAAAUGUACGCUGUCAAAGAACACUUUUCGCAGCGAACAAUGUAUGCUGCAACAAGUUCAGACUUGUUGCAGGCCCCAGUUGCAGCAUACGAUGUACGCUGUAACAGGGGUUUAAAAGCCCGCUGCAAUAAGUGUUUUUUCUACUAGUGACGAUCUCUGGUUAUUGUAUCUAUAUUUUUUGUAGCUAAAGAUGGACAUUCAGAGAAUAAUAGAUAAACCUCCGACUUCAUUUUUUUAAGCCCUUUUCUUAUUUUCUAUAUGUCCAUUAGUUUUACUAAAUAUGAUACUUAGGGGCCGGACAAAAUGUUACGGUGUAAUUUGGUGUGGACUUAUUUUUUACCAUUUCAUGAUAUUGCAUUUUAAAUUGAAGCUUUACUCUGUAGCUGCUUGUGAACCAAAUGGAUUGUCUCAGAGAAUGGAGCAACUAUAGCAGACAUUGUCAGAAACUUUGUCGAAUGGUUCUCUUGGUUCAUCUAGAAAUGUUGCAAAUCAUAUGGGCCAAAUGGCUAUGGCUAUGGGAAAGCUCGGUACUCUUGAAGGGCUUAUUUUCUAGGAAAUUCACUAUAUUUCUACUGCUUCAUUGAAUGUUGUUGCUACUGCCUCUCUGAAACUUUAGUUCAUAUUUAGAAGUUGCUAGAUGUGAGGUUAUCCGAGUCACGGAGUAUAAUCAACUCCCUAUAAACUUAUGAUUCGUCUCCAUCAUUUUGCCAGCAAUGUCUCAUAAUAGGCCACGAUUUUCAGGCUGCAAAAGGCUUCAAAUUGAAGUUUUUAUAUAUUGUACUCCCGUUUUUCCAACUAUGAGUUUCCUUGUUGACAACAUGGCCUAAGUAUCAUUUGUAUUCGUAUCUA